GUGACAUUUGCUUUCGUCAUAUGCGAGUUAGGGGCUUGCCGACAGGUAAACCGCCGCUGUACUUAGAUGAGUUGAGAUUUACACAUCAAUGCCAGCUCACAAAGCAU